GAUGAACGCUGGCGGCGUGCCUAAUACAUGCAAUUCGAGCGAACAGACUAGUAGUUUUCUCCUCUGACGUUAGCGGCGGACGGUUGAUUAACACUUGGAUAACUUACCUUUAAGACUGGGAUAACUUCGGGAACCCGUAGCUAUUACCGGUAAAUAUUUUGAACCGCAUGUUUCAAUAUUGAAAGACGGUUUUGCUGUCACUUAUAUAUUGAUCCGCGCCGUAUUAGCUAUUUGGUAAGGUAACGGCUUACCAAGGCGACGAUGCGUAGCCGACCUGAGAGGGUGAUCGGCCACACUGGAACUGAGACACGGUCCAGACUCCUACGGGAGGCAGCAGUAGGGAAUCUUCGGCAAUGGGCGAAAGCCUGACGGAGAAACGCCGCGUGAGUGAUGAAGGUCUUCGGAUCGUAAAACUCUGUUAUUAGGGAAGAACAAAUGUGUAAGUAACUAUGCACGUCUUGACGGUACCUAAUCAGAAAGCCACGGCUAACUACGUG
rnacentral:rRNA from 1 species